AACGAACGCUGGCGGCAGGCUUAACACAUGCAAGUCGAACGAGAUCUUCGGAUCUAGUGGCAGACGGGUGAGGAACACGUGGGAACAUCCCUUUCAGUUCGGAAUAACGUUGGGAAACUAACGCUAAUACCGGAUACGUCCUUCGGGAGAAGGAUUUAUCGCUGAAAGAUUGGCCCGCGUCUGAUUAGCUAGUUGGUGAGGUAAUGGCUCACCAAGGCUACGAUCAGUAGCUGAUCUGAGAGGAUGAUCAGCCACAUUGGGACUGAGACACGGCCCAAACUCCUACGGGAGGCAGCAGUGGGGAAUAUUGGACAAUGGGCGCAAGCCUGAUCCAGCCAUGCCGCGUGAGUGAUGACGGCCUUCGGGUUGUAAAGCUCUUUUGUCCGGGAAGAUAAUGACUGUACAGGAAGAAUAAGCCCCGGCAAACUUCGUGCCAGCCGCCGCUGUAACAC
rnacentral:rRNA from 1 species